rnacentral:rRNA from 1 species
CAGCAGCCGCGGGAAAACGGAGGGUGCAAGCGUUAUCCGGAUUUAUUGGGUUUAAAGGGUCCGUAGGCGGAUCUGUAAGUCAGUGGUGAAAUCUCACAGCUUAACUGUGAAACUGCCAUUGAUACUGCAGGUCUUGAGUAAAUUUGAAGUGGCUGGAAUAAGUAGUGUAGCGGUGAAAUGCAUAGAUAUUACUUAGAACACCAAUUGCGAAGGCAGGUCACUAAGAUUUAACUGACGCUGAUGGACGAAAGCGUGGGGAGCGAACAGGAUUAGAUACCCGAGUAGUCCCUGUCUCUUAUAC